UACGUAGGGUGCGAGCGUUGUCCGGAAUUAUUGGGCGUAAAGAGCUCGUAGGCGGUGUGUCACGUCGGCCGUGAAAACCUGCAGCUUAACUGUGGGCGUGCGGUCGAUACGGGCAUCACUGGAGUUCGGCAGGGGAGACUGGAAUUCCUGGUGUAGCGGUGAAAUGCGCAGAUAUCAGGAGGAACACCGGUGGCGAAAGCACUCUACUGGGCCAUUACUGACACUGAGAGACGAAAGCUAGGGGAGCAAAUGGG
rnacentral:rRNA from 1 species